AAAUCGGCCCUUUUCAGGGUCACCAAAUUAUUUAAACAUAUGCAUU
rfam:Nasonia vitripennis chromosome 5 unlocalized genomic scaffold Chr5_random023, whole genome shotgun sequence.